rnacentral:rRNA from 1 species
GACGUAGGGCGCGAGCGUUGUCCGGAUUUAUUGGGCGUAAAGAGCGCGUAGGCGGUCUGUUAAGUGUAGAGUGAAAUCUCCAGGGCUCAACCCGGAAACUGCUCUGCAUACUGGCAGACUGGAGUGAUGCAGAGGUUUGUGGAAUUCCUGGUGUAACGGUGAAAUGUGUUGAUAUCAGGAGGAACACCCAUGGCGAAGGCAGCAAACUGGGCAUUAACUGACGCUGAGGCGCGAAAGCGUGGGUAGCAAACAGG